AUUGAACGCUGGCGGCAGGCCUAACACAUGCAAGACGAGCGGAUGAAGGGAGCUUGCUCCUGGAUUCAGCGGCGGACGGGUGAGUAAUGCCUAGGAAUCUGCCUGGUAGUGGGGGAUAACGUCCGGAAACGGGCGCUAAUACCGCAUACGUCCUGAGGGAGAAAGUGGGGGAUCUUCGGACCUCACGCUAUCAGAUGAGCCUAGGUCGGAUUAGCUAGUUGGUGGGGUAAAGGCCUACCAAGGCGACGAUCCGUAACUGGUCUGAGAGGAUGAUCAGUCACACUGGAACUGAGACACGGUCCAGACUCCUACGGGAGGCAGCAGUGGGGAAUAUUGGACAAUGGGCGAAAGCCUGAUCCAGCCAUGCCGCGUGUGUGAAGAAGGUCUUCGGAUUGUAAAGCACUUUAAGUUGGGAGGAAGGGCAGUAAGUUAAUACCUUGCUGUUUUGACGUUACCAACAGAAUAAGCACCGGCUAACUUCGUG
rnacentral:rRNA from 1 species